UUUUGGUAAGGACGGAUCUGGCGCUUUGGAUACUAAAUAGGCAACUAAUUCAAUUGGUGCUUUCUCCGAGGGUCUGCUUGCAAACCGGUGCCAGACUCACUGGUCCUUUGUGUACUGCCCGCCCUGCAUGUGUCUGGGCUCCCCUGGCCAGUCCGUUUUUUUUGUCUCUGAUGGUUAAUAAGCUUUGAGCCUAGUAGUCAAAUGUGGUGGGAACGGGGACAAGACGAGGGUCCUUAGUGAAGGUGUUUGUUGUUAAAUAGAACAAUUCAGCUGUCUCUUUAGAAAACUUGACAAAAGGAAAUGCUCCCUGCUGAAAAUUUUCUUAGCCUGUUGCACAAAAGAUGAAGUUUGUUUAAGAAAUUGCUGCUAAAGAAAGCGUCAACCCAUUAAGCUUCAACAAAGAUUCCCAGAGUUGUGGGCCAUACUCUUAACACUGAAGUGCAUAGAACUUGGCAGAAAUCUACACUUCAGAGAUAAUAACAUAUCACUCCAUGAAAUAAAGGAAAAGGCAUAAUCAGAAAAAAGAAGUUAAAUAUGGAAACCUGUUUUGACAACAAAUGAAUACAGAUGAAGCCAGACAGGAAAGGUGUUAUAUUCUGACUGCCUGGGACCCCUGCGACUGCGUUCGCUUCUCACUGAAGGGUUUUAUCUGCUCCUGGUGGGGCAAAGUCAUGACCCAGAAAAAAAUUGAUUCAUGAAUUCUCAGGGCGCAAGUAAAGAAGAGAAGAAAUAUGCCUUGGCUGAGCUCCGACU
rnacentral:lncRNA from 1 species